rnacentral:tRNA from 1 species
UCCCUGGUGGCUGAGAUAGUAAAGCGUCUGCCUGCAAUGCGGGAGACCCGGGUUCUAUCCCUGGGUAAGGAA